rnacentral:rRNA from 1 species
GAUGAACGCUGGCGGCGUGCCUAAUACAUGCAAGUCGAGCGAACAGACGAGGAGCUUGCUCCUCUGACGUUAGCGGCGGACGGAUGAGUAACACAUGGAUAACCUACCUAUAAGACUGGGAUAACUUCGGGAAACCGGAGCUAAUACCGGAUAAUAUAUUGAACCGCAUGGUUCAAUAGUGAAAGACGGUUUUGCUGUCACUUAUAGAUGGAUCCGCGCCGCAUUAGCUAGUUGGUAAGGUAACGGCUUACCAAGGCAACGAUGCGUAGCCGACCUGAGAGGGGGAGCGGCCACUCAGGAACUGAGAGACGGUACAGACUCCGACGGGAGGCAGCAGUAGGGAAUCGUGCGCAAUGUGCGAAAGCUUGACGGAGCAACGGCGCGCGAGUGAUGAAGGGCCGCGUAUCGGAAGACUGUGUUAUUAUGGAAGACCAAAUGUGUAAGUAACUAUGCACGUCUUGACGGUACCUAAUCAGAAAGCCACGGCUAACUACGUG